rnacentral:sRNA from 2 species
ACCCACCGCCGCCAACCUACCUACCGCUGCCAAUCUACCUACCACUGCCAAUCUAUCUAUCACUGCUAAUCUAUCGCUGCUAAUCUAUUGCUGCUAAUCUAUUGCUGCUAAUCUAUUGCUGCUAAUCUAUCGCUGCUAAUCUAUCGCCGCCAACCUACCUACCGCUGCCAACCUAUCUACCACUGCCAAUCUAUCUAUCGCUGCCAACCUAUAUAGAGUAAAUCAUGGUCCCAUUUGGUCCCAUUUUGUAAAAUGGGACCAAAUGGGACCAGAAUCACUAAUUUAUUAGUAAAACAUGAUCUGGGACUAGAUUUAUAAUAUAAACAGUGUAAAGUGACUAAUUUGCUAAACACUAUAUGGGACCAGGACUAAGAUAUCUAAUAAUGGAACUGAGGAAAAAUUUGGUCCCAGUCCCAUGCAUGGUCACACGGCCAGUCUAUCUGAAAUGCUUCAAGCAGAUUGAAAAACUAGAGCUUAUUCAGUUGUAUAUCUUGAAGAAA